rnacentral:SRP_RNA from 1 species
CCGUACUAGGCGGGGGGUUGGUGGUCCCCUGUACCCGAAACCCACCUUAGCGGGGCUGAAUUCCCCGACUGAGGCCACCUGGGGUCGGUAUCGGCGUACUCAGUGGCGUUGAAGAUCGGGUCCCACGCAACAACUACCUGUGAACCGGGUCAGGUCCGGAAGGAAGCAGCCCUAAGCAGGCAAGUGUGUGCCGUGGGAGUGCCCGGUCGGAGCCAUGGUGGGUGCGUGCGACCGGGUCUGGGUGAGUCGAAGCGGGGUGUACGG